AUUGAACGCUGGCGGCAUGCCUUACACAUGCAAGUCGAACGGCAGCGGGGACUUCGGUCCGCCGGCGAGUGGCGAACGGGUGAGUAAUGUAUCGGAACGUACCUUUCAGUGGGGGAUAACGUAGCGAAAGUUACGCUAAUACCGCAUAUUCUCUGAGGAGGAAAGCAGGGGACCUUCGGGCCUUGUGCUGAUGGAGCGGCCGAUAUCAGAUUAGCUAGUUGGUGAGGUAAAGGCUCACCAAGGCGACGAUCGGUAGCGGGUCUGAGAGGCUGAUCCGCCACACUGGGACUGAGACACGGCCCAGACUCCUACGGGAGGCAGCAGUGGGGAAUUUUGGACAAUGGGCGCAAGCCUGAUCCAGCCAUGCCGCGUGAGUGAAGAAGGCCUUCGGGUUGUAAAGCUCUUUCGGACGGGAAGAAAUUGGUGGGGCUAAUAUCCCCAUCGGAUGACGGUACCGUAAUAAGAAGCACCGGCUAACUACGUGCCAGCAGCCGCCGUAAUAC
rnacentral:rRNA from 1 species